GGGGGAUGGGGUCGGAGAUCAUGCUGAACGAACAUCCGGUCCUGACCAUCCUGCCCGCCGCAGAAGCGGGCACGCGCAGUUCGAAUCUCGUAUCCUCCGCCA
rnacentral:tRNA from 1 species